AAGACUGAGGAGAUGGUCCCAGUCUUGUGUGAAGAAGCUGGUGUUCCUUACGUCUACGUUCCAUCCAAAGAAGAUCUUGCGCAAGCCGGGGCAACAAAACGACCAACAUGUUGCGUCUUGGUCAUGCUUAAACCGGCCAAAGGAGAGCUAAGCGCAGAAGAUCUUGAAAAGUUGAAGA